CGGACGGGUGAGUAAUGUCUGGGAAACUGCCCGAUGGAGGGGGAUAACUACUGGAAACGGUAGCUAAUACCGCAUAACGUCGCAAGACCAAAGAGGGGGACCUUCGGGCCUCUGCCAUCGAUGUGCCCAGAUGGGAUUAGCUAGUAGGUGGGGUAACGGCUCACCUAGGCGACGAUCCCUAGCUGGUCUGAGAGGAUGACCAGCCACACUGGAACUGAGACACGGUCCAG
rnacentral:rRNA from 1 species